GAGUAAAGAUUUCGGUCGCUUUGGGAGGAGCUCGCUUACUAUCAGCUUGUUGGUAGGGUAAUGGCCUACCAAGGCUAUGACGGUUAGGGGGUGUGAGAGCAUGACCCCCAGCAUUGGCACUGAAACACUGGCCAAACACCUACGGGUGGCUGCAGUCGAGAAUCUUCCACAAUGGGGGAAACCCUGAUGGAGCGAUGCUGCGUGCGGGAUGAAGGCCUUCGGGUUGUAAACCGCUUUUGUAGGGGACGAAAUUUUUGACGGUACCCUUUCGAAUAAGAGGUUGCUAACUCUGUGCCAGCAGCAGCGGUAAUACAGAGACCUCAAGCGUUAUCCGGAUUUACUGGGCGUAAAGCGUCUGUAGGGGGUUUAUUAAGUUCCAAGUAAAAUUUCAAGGCUCAACUUUGAAUUCGCUUGGAAAACUAAUAAACUGGAGUCUAGCAGAGGUGCAUGGAACUUGUGGUGUAGGAGUGAAAUCCGUUGAUAUCACAAGGAACACCAAAGGCGAAGGCAUUGCACUGGGCUAGCACUGACCCUGAGAGACGAAAGCGUGGGGAGCAAAACGGAUUAGAUACCCGUGUAGUCCACGCCCUAAACGAUGAAUGCUAAAUGUUCGGGGAUUCGACCCCCUGGGUGUUACAGCUAACGCGUUAAGCAUUCCGCCUGGGAAGUACGGCCGCAAGGCUAAAACUCAAAGGAAUAGACGGGGAUCCGCACAAGCGGUGGAGCGUCUGGUUUAAUUCGACAGUAAGCGUGGUACCUCACCAGGGUUUGACAUCCCUUGACAGCCUUGGAAACAAGGUUUCCUUCGGGCAAGGUGACAGGUGCUGCAUGGUCGUCGUCAGUUCGUGCCGUGAGGUGUUCCGUUAAGUCGGGAAACGAACGAAACCCCUAUUGCAUGUUACAAUUUCUCAUGCAAGACUGCCCGGAUAUACUGGGAGGAAGGUGGGGAUGACGUCAGAUCUGCAUGGUCCUUAUACCCUGGGCGACACAGGCGCUACAAUGGCAGAGACAAAGGGUUGCAAAACCGCAAGGUGAAGCUAAUCCCAAAAACUUUGUCUAAGUUCGGAUUGAAGGCUGCAAUUCGCCUUCAUGAAGCUGGAAUCGCUAGUAAUCGUGAAUCAGCCACGUCACGGUGAAUAUGUUCCCGGAUCUUGUACUCACCGCCCGUCACACCAAGAGAGUUGGUAGCUCCCGAAG
rnacentral:rRNA from 1 species